rnacentral:rRNA from 1 species
AAAUAGAACUUUGCAGAGAGAGUUAACAGGGCGUGAAACCGUUAAUUGGCAAACGAAUCGGAGCCACGAAGUCGUUUCGCUGAUUAGUUGGGCCAAGUUCAGUCCAAGAUCGCAAGAUUUUGGGUGUAUUCUUGUAGUCCAACCUAACAUUGUAAACGUACACUGCAACCAGUUAGACGAUUGGCGAUGGGCCCAGCUGGUUGGGGAGCAAUCCCCGGCUAGCGCAGCUAUUGUCCGUUUGAGCCAGCAGCAGCUUGGUGCGCCUCGGCGUAUGCGAGUUGUUGGGCGCAGGCGGGAGAACUAUCGCCAAACACUGACUGGCAAAAUAAAAAUCACUCGCAGAGUGUUUGAAUAGAACGCGGCCGUCCACAUGGGUGUCCACAUGCUUGACCGUUUGGCUUAAGCUCAGCAUUUUUAAAUUCAAACUUGCUUGCUACCAGUGGGGCAACUCCUGGUGCUUGUAUUGCUUUGUCUAAUUGGGUGUUGACUUGGUUAGGCGUCGUUCGAGCAUGCAACGAUCGGGCGCCUAUGUGAGGUGGUUCGCAAUCAUUGGCAGUGAGUAGGUCGGCUUUCCGAACGACCCGUCUUGAAACACGGACCAAGGAGUCUAAUUAGGCAUCAAGUCGAUCGGUCUUGAUUAGGCCAGAUUGGGGAGUUCGUCUCCCCGCUUGAAGGCGUAGAGAAAUCAAAUCAUGUGAUCGCGUGAGCAACAACAGCUUGCGCGCGCAACAUGUGCCUGCUCGUGUGGCAAUGUUAGCAAUAACUUGCCGGGCGGAGUAAAGAGAUGCCUGAUUGGUACC